UACGAAGGACCCGAGCGUUUAUCCGGAUUUAUUGGGUUUAAAGGGUGCGUAGGCGGAUUUAUAAGUCAGUGGUGAAAUCUCCCCGCUCAACGGGGAAACUGCCAUUGAAACUAUUUAUCUUGAGUACAUUUGAGGCGGGCGGAAUGUGUCAUGUAGAGGUGAAAUUCUUAGAUAUGACACAGAACACCAAUUGCGAAGGCAGCUCGCUAAACUGUAACUGACGCUGAGGCACGAAAGCGUGGGGAUCAAACAGG
rnacentral:rRNA from 1 species